UUGGUUCCAAACUUGUUAAAAAAUCCCUUGAUUCAUCUGUCAGUUUAUAAAUUGUAUCAACUGUUAUUAUAAGGACUCCCCCUACAAUACUGGCAGGAAGCCUUGAGCUCCUGAGGCCACAAAGUGUCAAAUGUGAGAAGAUUCUACUUUUCUAACAGACUUUCUAAUUUCUAACGUCACAAGUAGGCGGAGCUUAGCGAACUUUUCCAAACAAAUCGAUUUUACAUCUCAAAACGCCAUAAGAAAUUAUUUAUAUAUUUAUUGUAUGUGCUUGCAUUGCUAAUAAGGAUAUUCGCGUACAUUUUUGACUUGGCGUCAGUUAGUUGUUACAUAUUUUGAAAAAAAUCUCCAUUGAUUUCAGAUGUAGAAUGGAUUCAAAACAUGUUUUAAAACUAUCCUCUAUAAACGAUUUACUCGACAAUGAUAAUAAAAUCAUGAAAAAGGCUGAAAAUGCCUUGGAAUCGAAUCAUGUGGAAAGUAUACAGUUUGAUGCUGACUUUCAUGCAAGCAUGAAAGGUAAAUUCCAUCAUGUUGAAAUCACACUGAAUAAAUCUGAAGAUAUCACAUAUGCAAAUUGUGCUUGUCCUAUAGAGGAAUAAAAUGUCAUCAUAUCGCCACAUUAGCUCUUUUUGGACACUACAAUAUAUCUGUGACGGACAAGGAAUCUGAUCCACUGUGGGCAGAAAACUUAUCGCUGCUAGAAUAUUUUUAUAUGGAACAGUACCUGCCAAAACUUACACACGAACUUAUAUCAGCUGAAACUUGACUCAGUAUAUAAAACUAUAACCAGAUAAUCAUGUUAAGGUAGAGUGUAUUAGAUAUAUGUAAUAAAUAUUCAGAAUGUACCUUCACCAAUAUUUCUGUAAUAGU